CUACGGGUCGCUGCAGUGAGGAAUAUUGCGCAAUGGGGGAAACCCUGACGCAGCGACGCCGCGUGGAUGAUGAAGGCCUUAGGGUCGUAAAAUCCUGUCAGGUGGGAAGAAGUGGAUAUAGAUUAAUACUCUAUUUCUUUGACGGUACCACCAAAGGAAGCACCGGCUAACUCCGUGCCAGCAGCCGCGGUAAUACGGAGGGUGCAAACGUUGUUCGGAAUUACUGGGCGUAAAGCGCGCGUAGGCGGUUUGUUAAGUCAGAUGUGAAAGUCCAUGGCUCAACUAGGGAAGUGCAUUUGAACUGGCAGACUUGAGUACUGGAGGGGGUGAUGGAAUUCCAGGUGUAGAGGUGAAAUUCGUAGAUAUCGGGAGGAAUACCGGUGGCGAAGGCGAUCACCUGGCCAGAUACUGACGCUGAGGUGCGAAAGAGUGGGGAGCAAACAGGAUUAGAUACCCGAGUAGUC
rnacentral:rRNA from 1 species